UACGUAGGGAGCUAGCGUUGCUCGGACUCACUGGGCGUACAGGGUGCGUAGGUGGGUGUUUAAGUCAGUGGGGAAAUCCUGGAGCUCAACUCCCGAACUGCCUUUGAUACUGAAGAUCUUGAGUUCGGGAGAGGUGAGUGGAACUGCGAGUGUAGAGGUGAAAUUCGUAGAUAUUCGCAAGAACACCAGUGGCGAAGGCGGCUCACUGGCCCGAUACUGACGCUGAGGCACGAAAGCGUGGGGAGCAAACAGG
rnacentral:rRNA from 1 species